GAGGUUGUCAGUGAAUAGAGAGAUGGUGAUUCUUUUGGAUGUCUAGAAAUGGCAUAAAGAGAUGCCUAGAGUGCUGCUGGAGGAAGAAAAAAGAGUGAGGCUGACCAAGCUCAGCUAAGAGUUUUAUUAGGACUUACCUUGCAGUGAGAAGGGUGGUGAAGCAAUCGUACUUCUCUGUUCUUAUUGUGUCUGCAGACUGCCACCCAGUGACCAUGUUUCAAGUGACCAGGUCCCUCCUGGGUAAGGAGAGCUGGUGCAGGGCCAGUGUGAGGAAUAUUUCCAGCAUUUGUUAGACAAAGUCACUUGGCUUCCUCUGGAGUUGGAUGCUGGCUGGGCAGGCCCUUUGGAGGUGACUCAGAUGCAUCUGAGCUCUGUUAUCUGGGAGGAGUUUGAGCCAGUUGAUCUGAGGAAGUGGACAGGAUCCUCACAGCUGUGAGCUCAAACACCUGUGUUCCUGGAACCUCUAGUACUAGAAUAUGAGUUAGAUUAGCACUCUCAUUAUUUCCAAAUCAGAAAGCUAUAGGAAUUUGUGGAAUAUCUACAGAAAUAUGGCAUACAACCUGAGAAGACUCAGUAAAGGUUCUCACCAAAGUAUGCCAGCAAAUCUGGAGAAUGAAACAAUGGCCAACAGAUUGGAAGAGGUCAGUCCACAAACCAAUAACAAAGAAUGGAGAAUUAAAAGAUUGUGUAAGCCAUUGCACAAUAUCUUACAUUUCACGUGCUAUCAAAAUAAUGCUUAGGAUCAUCCAACACAAAUUAGAGCCCCACAUGCAAGGAAAAAUGCCAGAUGUUAAGAUGGUUUUGGAAAAAGGCCAAAGAAAGGCAAAGGAGUGAGAGAAGACUGCAUACUCUCUCCUUAUUCAUUCAACCUAUACAAUGAAUAUAUGUUGAGAGAAGCUGGAUUGGAAGAAGAUGAGCGUGGUUUUAAAAUUAGAGGCAGAAAUAUCAAUAACCUGCAGUACGCUGAUGACACUACUCUGAUAACUGAAAAUGCAAAUGAUCUGCAAGCUCUAUUAAUGAAAGUCAAAGAGCACAGUGAAA